rnacentral:rRNA from 1 species
GUGGGGAAUCUUGCGCAAUGGGCGAAAGCCUGACGCAGCCAUGCCGCGUGAAUGAUGAAGGUCUUAGGAUUGUAAAAUUCUUUCACCGGGGACGAUAAUGACGGUACCCGGAGAAGAAGCCCCGGCUAACUUCGUGCCAGCAGCCGCGGUAAUACGAAGGGGGCUAGCGUUGCUCGGAAUUACUGGGCGUAAAGGGCGCGUAGGCGGACCGUUUAGUAAGAGGUGAAAGCACAGGGCUCAACCUUGGAAUUGCCUUUGAUACUGGCUGUCUUGAGUACGGGAGAGGUGAGUGGAACUCCGAGUGUAGAGGUGAAAUUCGUAGAUAUUCGGAAGAACACCAGUGGCGAAGGCGACUCACUGGCCCGUUACUGACGCUGAGGCGCGAAAGCGUGGGGAGCAAACAGGAUUAGAUACCCGUGUAGUCC